rnacentral:rRNA from 1 species
CAGUCGCCACGGGAUACGUAGGUGGCAAGCGUUGUCCGGAAUUAUUGGGCGUAAAGCGCGCGCAGGCGGAUCAGUCAGUCUGUCUUAAAAGUUCGGGGCUUAACCCCGUGAUGGGAUGGAAACUGCUGAUCUAGAGUAUCGGAGAGGAAAGUGGAAUUCCUAGUGUAGCGGUGAAAUGCGUAGAUAUUAGGAAGAACACCAGUGGCGAAGGCGACUUUCUGGACGAAAACUGACGCUGAGGCGCGAAAGCCAGGGGAGCGAACGGGAUUAGAUACCCCGGUAGUCCCUGUCUCUUAUACAC